rnacentral:rRNA from 1 species
CCUUUACUAUAGCUUGACACUGAACAUUGAGCCUUGAUGUGUAGGAUAGGUGGGAGGCUUUGAAGCGUGGACGCCAGUCUGCGUGGAGCCAACCUUGAAAUACCACCCUUUAAUGUUUGAUGUUCUAACGUUGGCCCCUGACCGGGGUUGCGGACAGUGUCUGGUGGGUAGUUUGACUGGGGCGGUCUCCUCCCAAAGCGUAACGGAGGAGCACGAAGGUUAGCUAAUCCU